rnacentral:rRNA from 1 species
CCUACGGGCGGCUGCAGUGAGGAAUCUUGCACAAUGGGGGCAACCCUGAUGGAGCAACGCCGCGUGCAGGAUGAAGGCCUUCGGGUCGUAAACUGCUUUUAUAAGUGAGGAAUAUGACGGUAACUUAUGAAUAAGGAUCGGCUAACUACGUGCCAGCAGCCGCGGUCAUACGUAGGAUCCGAGCGUUAUCCGGAGUGACUGGGCGUAAAGAGUUGCGUAGGUGGUUUGUUAAGUAGGUAGUGAAAUCUGGCGGCUCAACCGUACAGGCUAUUACCUAAACUGGCAAACUCGAGAAUGGUAGAGGUCACUGGAAUUUCUAGUGUAGGAGUGAAAUCCGUAGAUAUUAGAAGGAACACCAAUGGCGUAGGCAGGUGACUGGACCAUUUCUGACACUGAGGCACGAAAGCGUGGGGAGCGAACCGGCUUAGAUACCCGUGUAGUC